AGAACGAACGUUGGCGGCGUGGAUUAGGCAUGCAAGUCGAACGAAUCCCCAGGGGCUUGCUCUUGGGGGGAAGUGGCGAAAGGGGCAGUAAGGCGUGGGUAACCUACCCCGGGGAUCGGGAUAGCCUUCCUAACGGAUGGGUAAUACCGGGCGAUGUAACGAGGAGACAUCUCUUUGUUACGAAAUGAAUUUCGCCUCGGGAGGGGCUCACGUGCUAUUACCUAGUUGGUGAGGUAACGGCUCACCAAGGGAAAGAUGGCUAGCGGGUGUGAGAGCACGACCCGCGCCACUGGCACUGCGACACUGGCCAGACUCCUACGGGAGGCUGCAGUCGAGGAUCUUCGGCAAGUGGGCGCAAGCCUGACCCGAGCGACGCCGCGUGCGCGAUGAAGGCCUUCGGGUUGUAAGCGCUGUCGAGGGGGAGGAAGCGUCCGUAAGGGGUUGACCGUAUCCCGUGGAGGAAGCACGGGCUAAGUCGCGCCGAGCAGCCGC
rnacentral:rRNA from 1 species